ACGGAGGAUGCAAGCGUUAUCCGGAUUUAUUGGGUUUAAAGGGUCCGCAGGCGGACUUGUAAGUCAGGGGUGAAAUCCGGCAGCUUAACUGUCGAACUGCCUUUGAUACUGCAAGUCUUGAGUGAGAAUGAAGCAGCUGGAAUGUGUGGUGUGGCGGUGGAAUGGCUAGAUAUCACGCGGAACACCGGUGGCGUAGGCAGGUAACAAGUGCUCAACUGACGCUGAGCGGCGAGAGCGUGUGGAGCCAAGAG
rnacentral:rRNA from 1 species